GUAGGUGGCAAGCGUUGUCCGGAAUUAUUGGGCGUAAAGCGCGCGCAGGCGGUCCUUUAAGUCUGAUGUGAAAGCCCACGGCUCAACCGUGGAGGGUCAUUGGAAACUGGGGGACUUGAGUACAGAAGAGGAAAGCGGAAUUCCAAGUGUAGCGGUGAAAUGCGUAGAGAUUUGGAGGAACACCAGUGGCGAAGGCGGCUUUCUGGUCUGUAACUGACGCUGAGGCGCGGAAGCGUGGGGAGCAAACAGGAUUAGAUACCCUGGUAGUCCACGCCGUAAACGAUGAGUGCUAAGUGUUAGGGGGUUUCCCGCCCCCUUAGUGCUGCAGCUAACGCAUUAAGCACUCCGCCUGGGGAGUACGGCCGCAAGGCUG
rnacentral:rRNA from 1 species